rnacentral:misc_RNA from 1 species
GAUGAAGAACGUAGUGAAAUGCGAUAAGUAAUGUGAAUUGCAGAAUUCAGUGAAUCAUCGAAUCUUUGAACGCACAUUGCGCCCGCCAGUAUUCUGGCGGGCAUGCCUGUUCGAGCGUCAUUACAACCCUCAGGCCCCCGGGCCUGGCGUUGGGGAUCGGCGGAGCCCCCCGUGGGCACACGCCGUCCCCCAAAUACAGUGGCGGUCCCGCCGCAGCUUCCAUCGCGUAGUAGCUAACACCUCGCGACUGGAGAGCGGCGCGGCCACGCCGUAAAACACCCAACUCUUCUGAAGUUGACCUCGAAUCAGGUAGGAAUACCCGCUGAACUUAAGCAUAUCAAUAAGCGGAGA